UACGUAGGGUGCAGGCGUUAAUCGGAAUUACUGGGCGUAAAGCGUGCGCAGGCGGUUCGCUAAGACCGAUGUGAAAUCCCCGGGCUUAACCUGGGAACUGCAUUGGUGACUGGCGGGCUAGAGUAUGGCAGAGGGGGGUAGAAUUCCACGUGUAGCAGUGAAAUGCGUAGAGAUGUGGAGGAACACCGAUGGCGAAGGCAGCCCCCUGGGCUGAGAUUGACGCUCAGGCACGAAAGCGUGGGGAGCAAACAGG
rnacentral:rRNA from 1 species